CUUAGCAACCAGGCAGUGCUUUGAAUGAGAAACUGGAAUAUGAAUAGGAGAGGGACUAAACAGAAAGAUAAGAAUGCAAAGUAGCAAUUACUGCGACCCCCACUUGAAAGAUGGUGUAGAAGAGGAAGGAAAAAAGAAAAAGACUAAUUGCAUAUUUGCUAAGAAUAGGCCAUUCUAUAAUAUACCAAAAGUUACCUUAAAGCCAUGCUCCGAAUGUCAGAGGGCCACGUACUUCCCGAACUAAACAAGCAAAUCAUAGGAAUGUCUGUGCAACAAAAGCGGUGCCUUCCCUUGUACCAAGUGCCUGCAAGGUUGCUUCAUUGGACUUUUGUAUGCUUACAGCUGGAACGACAAGUCCGCAUGCUGGAGAGCUCGUCCUCUAAAGUGUUCCUACUUGGGCAGCCAACUGAUCUGUCACGGUCCAGAAAUGAUGCACUUUUAGCUGUGAGUAUUGGAAACUCUUUAAACAGCAGUGCUGCUGAAGACACAGAAACCAACUCCUACAGCUGUUUAGAUGCACGUUUCUAUGACGACGAUAUCCUGACUGUGGUGUUUAGGGACAACUCUGAAGUGGAAAGGAAGGAUAGGGUAUUGGCUCAGCUGCCACUCUCUUCCCUGUAUAGUGAUGAAGAAACAGAAGAUGGCUUCCCCUGGGACACGAGCAAAAGGUGGGUGCAGUCCACUGAAAAGCGCUACGCUGCACAACACACACCUGAACACAGUACUAGUAGCUUUCACAUUCAUGUGCCAUGCAGUUGUUAUUUUUUUCUGUUGGGUUUAUUUGUGUGCCAUGCAAUCCUUUACAGGGCGUUUGUGUGAGAUUUAUUGAGUAGCUGCUGCUUCACUGGGGAUCUGCCUGACCAAAUGUUGAACCAAAGAAAGUUAAAAAAGAACUCUGAAGGAUGAUACAAAUUGCUGGGGUGAUUAAUCUGUUUUUUCUUGUAUUUUUCCUGUAUUUGUGGAGAGUCAGGGGCGGCUGCUGGAGAACAUGAAGGCGCACUGUGUCUCUGUGGCAUACGCAAAGUUGCAUGUGUGCUCAGUUCAAACCUGCGCCAUGUGUGAGUCUUUGAGAUGGAUGCAGAAGAUGAUGGGGAAGAGGAAGAAGAAGAGAUUCUGCAUUCUCAGGAUGUGACAGAGGAAGAGGAGGAAUUAAACCAGUCUGCGGAUGAUGGACAGACAAAUUCAGCGGAAGCAGUUGAUGUGACAGAGGAAAGCUUGGACUCCUGGUACCGCCAGUCUCACAAAGAGGAAAUGUGAGCCCUACUGAAUGCCAAAUGCUAUGGAGAGGAUUUGUAUAGAAUCCAGGGAUGUGUAAAUAAUUAACCUUUUACCUUAGAGGUGCAGCGAUUGCAGAUAUUGCAGUGCUUGUUCCUGAACACACAAAUCUCUCGCACACUGAGCAGAACCUGAAGUGAUACAAGCAGAGAAUAAUACAGACACAAUAAAUAACAAGCUACACAAAGAAA